GACCUUUUCCUGCUUAGACCUGCCGAAGGUUGAUCACCAGCCACCAUUGCCGAACGGCAAGGGCCGUGGAUAAAUUGGAGGAAGGCUCACGGAAGAUCAGAGCUCCAAUUCUCCGUCUUGCCGAAGCAAGCCCACUUACAACAGCAACUCCAAACCUGCCGAAGAUGUGCUACCGAACGGCAGGUCCUGUGGAGAUCCUUGACCUUGCCGAAACUUUGCCAAACCCUCCCAAUCCACCCUUGCCGAACGGCAAGGGUUGAGCAGAUCCAAUUGAGAUCCUCGCCUCUAUGCCAACUCCUCACCGCAGCCAAGGACAAUGAAGAGGCCCCCGAAAUUUUCCAAAGGACCUUGCCGAACGGCAAAGGUUGUGGGGCACAAGUACACGGCUUAGCAAACG
rnacentral:lncRNA from 1 species